rnacentral:rRNA from 2 species
CAGUCGAACGAACUCUGGUAUUGAUUGGUGCUUGCAUCAUGAUUUACAUUUGAGUGAGUGGCGAACUGGUGAGUAACACGUGGGAAACCUGCCCAGAAGCGGGGGAUAACACCUGGAAACAGAUGCUAAUACCGCAUAACAACUUGGACCGCAUGGUCCGAGCUUGAAAGAUGGCUUCGGCUAUCACUUUUGGAUGGUCCCGCGGCGUAUUAGCUAGAUGGUGGGGUAACGGCUCACCAUGGCAAUGAUACGUAGCCGACCUGAGAGGGUAAUCGGCCACAUUGGGACUGAGACACGGCCCAAACUCCUACGGGAGGCAGCAGUAGGGAAUCUUCCACAAUGGACGAAAGUCUGAUGGAGCAACGCCGCGUGAGUGAAGAAGGGUUUCGGCUCGUAAAACUCUGUUGUUAAAGAAGAACAUAUCUGAGAGUAACUGUUCAGGUAUUGACGGUAUUUAACCAGAAAGCCACGGCUAACUACGUGCCAGCAGCCGCGGUAAUACGUAGGUGGCAAGCGUUGUCCGGAUUUAUUGGGCGUAAAGCGAGCGCAGGCGGUUUUUUAAGUCUGAUGUGAAAGCCUUCGGCUCAACCGAAGAAGUGCAUCGGAAACUGGGAAACUUGAGUGCAGAAGAGGACAGUGGAACUCCAUGUGUAGC